GUGGGCAAGGGAGCGAGGGGAGCGUGGGCCAGAGAAGGCUCAGAUCAGCUAACCUGAAUCAUUGAAUCAUUUUAGCAGGCUCAGGGGCGAGGGGCUGUCCCUUCCUGUCUGGUCCCUCGCCUGGCGUGAUUUGGGCAGGUGCAUGGUGGCCCGGAGUGUGAGGGCCACAGAGAAGGUGGUUGGAGCAUGGACUCCAGGUGGUUGGUUUGAUUUGGAAAGCACAGCCCUGGGUUCUAAGAACCAGCUCAUUCUGGCAAGGGCAGUACCUCCAGGGUCAGCAAGACCCCGGAUGUCCAAGCACCAGAAUUCAGAAAAUAAAAGAAUUCAUUAAUACAAAAGACAACAUGCAGCCAUUGCUCAGAAGCACUGCCUGGGGCCCAGGCUGCCGGCCUCUUGUUGCCCAGGUCUCUGUGCCCAGUGUUCAGCAGCAGACACUUGUGGAAUUGGCUUUUGAGAAGCAAGGGGCUGGGCUUUGAAGAAUGAAUGCCAAAGGUUGAAUCCCAAGGCAAGACAUACUGCCGCUGGACAGGAGGAGAUGCCUGCAUCUGCUCAGAAGUUCACACCUAAGGAGGGUUUCAAGCGUUCCAAGAUAACAAAAAGUGCUCCCCAAAAUAAGACUUACCAUAAAUAACAGAUGAACAAAAUAAUCAGUCAAAAAGUCUGUCCCAUGUCCAACAGUAGUCCAGAUGCUGGGGUAGGGGAUCCAAAAGAAGGGGGAGGAUGUCACUGACUGCCACCUCCAUUCAGCUGCCCAGGUUAGAGGGUCUAGCUGACCCCUAUGGAUUUCCAUAACCAGCCCUCAGGCCUGAGAGACAGCGUUCCCACUGUCAGCAGCGAGCCCAGCGCAGGAUCUGGACAUGGAGUCUGGUGUUUCUCCAGCCGGGCAGCCCAAGCAUAGCCUCUCCCUGGAGCAGGAAGGAGAAGCUCCUUCUGUACCUUUACCAGGAGCACAGCCACACUGUUCUGAAAGCAAACUCAUGCUGGACGCCUGCAGGUUCCAGAAG
rnacentral:lncRNA from 1 species